rnacentral:sRNA from 12 species
ACUGUGGAGUGUAUAAAAAUUGUUAGUAGUAUCUGGCUUUAUUCAGUACAAACGCAUACACAAUGAAGCAGUAA